rnacentral:rRNA from 1 species
GUUGUUGGGUAGGGGAGCGUUCUGUAAGCCUGCGAAGGUGACCUGUGAGGGUUGCUGGAGGUAUCAGAAGUGCGAAUGCUGACAUAAGUAACGAUAAAGCGGGUGAAAAGCCCGCUCGCCGGAAGACCAAGGGUUCCUGUCCAACGUUAAUCGGGGCAGGGUGAGUCGACCCCUAAGGCGAGGCCGAAAGGCGUAGUCGAUGGGAAACAGGUUAAUAUUCCUGUACUUGGUGUUACUGCGAAGGGGGGACGGAGAAGGCUAUGUUAGCCGGGCGACGGUUGUCCCGGUUUAAGCAUGUAGGCUGGUUGUCCAGGCAAAUCCGGAUAAUCAAGGCUGAGGUGUGAUGACGAGGCACUACGGUGCUGAAGUAACAAAUGCCCUGCUUCCAGGAAAAGCCUCUAAGCAUCAGGUAACAUUAAAUCGUACCCCAAACCGACACAGGUGGUCAGGUAGAGAAUACCAAGGCGCUUGAGAGAACUCGGGUGAAGGAACUAGGCAAAAUGGUGCCGUAACUUCGGGAGAAGGCACGCUGGUGUGUAGGUGAAGUCCCUGCGGAUGGAGCUGAGACCAGUCGAAGAUACCAGCUGGCUGCAACUGUUUAUUAAAAACACAGCACUGUGCAAACACGAAAGUGGACGUAUACGGUGUGACGCCUGCCCGGUGCCGGAAGGUUAAUUGAUGGGGUUAUCCGUAAGGAGAAGCUCUUGAUCGAAGCCCCGGUAAACGGCGGCCGUAACUAUAACGGUCCUAAGGUAGCGAAAUUCCUUGUCGGGUAAGUUCCGACCUGCACGAAUGGCGUAAUGAUGGCCAGGCUGUCUCCACCCGAGACUCAGUGAAAUUGAACUCGCUGUGAAGAUGCAGUGUACCCGCGGCAAGACGGAAAGACCCCGUGAACCUUUACUAUAGCUUGACACUGAACAUUGAGCCUUGAUGUGUAGGAUAGGUGGGAGGCUUUGAAGCGUGGACGCCAGUCUGCGUGGAGCCAACCUUGAAAUACCACCCUUUAAUGUUUGAUGUUCUAACGUUGGCCCCUUACCGGGGUUGCGGACAGUGUCUGGUGGGUAGUUUGACUGGGGCGGUCUCCUCCCAAAGCGUAACGGAGGAGCACGAAGGUUAGCUAAUCCUGGUCGGACAUCAGGAGGUUAGUGCAAUGGCAUAAGCUAGCUUGACUGCGAGCGUGACGGCGCGAGCAGGUGCGAAAGCAGGUCAUAGUGAUCCGGUGGUUCUGAAUGGAAGGGCCAUCGCUCAACGGAUAAAAGGUACUCCGGGGAUAACAGGCUGAUACCGCCCAAGAGUUCAUAUCGACGGCGGUGUUUGGCACCUCGAUGUCGGCUCAUCACAUCCUGGGGCUGAAGUAGGUCCCAAGGGUAUGGCUGUUCGCCAUUUAAAGUGGUACGCGAGCUGGGUUUAGAACGUCGUGAGACAGUUCGGUCCCUAUCUGCCGUGGGCGCUGGAGAAUUGAGGGGGGCUGCUCCUAGUACGAGAGGACCGGAGUGGACGCAUCACUGGUGUUCGGGUUGUCAUGCCAAUGGCACUGCCCGGUAGCUAAAUGCGGAAGAGAUAAGUGCUGAAAGCAUCUAAGCACGAAACUUGCCCCGAGAUGAGUUCUCCCUGAGACUUUAAGUCUCCUGAAGGAACGUUAAAGACGAUGACGUUGAUAGGCCGGGUGUGUAAGCGCAGCGAUGCGUUGAGCUAACCGGUACUAAUGAACCGUGAGGCUUAACCUU